UUGCUAUGGUUUCUCUUCAGAUCGCAUAAAUCUUUUGCCUUUUACUUAAGAUUUCCCUGAAGAGGAACAGUUAUGAGUGGAGAGAACUUUGGAUUUGGAGUCAAAGGAUCUGGC